rnacentral:tRNA from 1 species
GGGCUGGGGCUCAGUGGUAGAGCACUGACCUGGCAUGUGUGAGGCCCUGGGUUCAAUUCUCAGCACCACA